rnacentral:rRNA from 1 species
UUAGUGGAAGCGUCUGGAAAGGCGCGCGAUACAGGGUGACAGCCCCGUACACAAAAGCGCAUGUGCUGUGAGCUCGAUGAGUAGGGCGGGACACGUGGUAUCCUGUCUGAAUAUGGGGGGACCAUCCUCCAAGGCUAAAUACUCCUGACUGACCGAUAGUGAACCAGUACCGUGAGGGAAAGGCGAAAAGAACCCCGGCGAGGGGAGUGAAAAAGAACCUGAAACCGUGUACGUACAAGCAGUGGGAGCACCCUUUGGGGUGUGACUGCGUACCUUUUGUAUAAUGGGUCAGCGACUUAUAUUCUGUAGCAAGGUUAACCGAAUAGGGGAGCCGGAGGGAAACCGAGUCUUAAUUGGGCGUUAAGUUGCAGGGUAUAGACCCGAAACCCGGUGAUCUAGCCAUGGGCAGGUUGAAGGUUGGGUAACACUAACUGGAGGACCGAACCGACUAAUGUUGAAAAAUUAGCGGAUGACCUGUGGCUGGGGGUGAAAGGCCAAUCAAACCGGGAG